rnacentral:rRNA from 1 species
AAAGANUCGGUAGGUGGUCAUGCAAGUNUGCUGUCAAAGCCCACAGCUUAAACUGUGGAUCGGCGGUGGAAACUGUGUGACUUGAGUACGGUAGGGGUAGAGGGAAUUCCCAGUGUAGCGGUGAAAUGCGUAGAUAUUGGGAAGAACACCGGUGGCGAAAGCGCUCUACUGGACCGUAACUGACACUGAGGGACGAAAGCUAAGGUAGCGAAAGGGAUUAGAUACCCCUGUAGUCUUAGCCGUAAACGAUGGAUACUAGGCGUUGUCUGUAUCGACCCGGACAGUGCCGAAGCUAACGCGUUAAGUAUCCCGCCUGGGGAGUACGCACGCAAGUGUGAAACUCAAAGGAAUUGACGGGGGCCCGCACAAGCGGUGGAGUAUGUGGUUUAAUUCGAUGCAACGCGAAGAACCUUACCAAGAUUUGACAUCCCGUGAAUCUUGCAGAGAUGCGAGAGUGCCUUAGGGAGCACGGAGACAGGUGGUGCAUGGCUGUCGUCAGCUCGUGUCGUGAGAUGUUGGGUUAAGUCCCGCAACGAGCGCAACCCUCGUCCUUAGUUGCCAGCAUUAAGUUGGGCACUCUAGGGAGACUGCCGGGGACAACUCGGAGGAAGGUGGGGAUGACGUCAAGUCAUCAUGCCCCUUACAUUUUGGGCUACACACGUACUACAAUGGUCGGGACAAAGGGCAGCAACCCCGCGAGGGCAAGCGAAUCUCAUCAAACCCGGCCUCAGUUCAGAUUGCAGGCUGCAACUCGCCUGCAUGAAGGAGGAAUCGCUAGUAAUCGCAGGUCAGCAUACUGCGGUGAAUCCGUUCCCGGGCCUUGUACACACCGCCCGUCACACCAUGGAAGCUGGCAACGCCCGAAGUCGUUACUCUAACCGUUCGCGGAGGAGGGCGCCGA